GGGGAGGGGAGGACUGCGCAUGCACGGGGGUUGACUGCAUUGGAAGGGAACCAUACUUGAAGUUGAGAUGCUUAAAAAAGAAUGGGAAGAAUGGAAACAAGCAACCUCGGGAGAGUGCAUAUUCCUCUACUCCUCAUGGGUGUGGACAUGUUUCAGGAUGCUUCAGAGGUUCUUUGGAAGAGGAAGGGGGUCUCCAGAAACUCUUAGUAUGCCUUUGAGAACAGCUCUUCAUUCAAAAGGGGAACCAGAUCUGCAUGUGAUAUACAGAUAUACCUGUAGGCAAAAAAGAAAGAAAAGAAAGAAAGAAAGAAAGGAAGGAAGGAAGGAAGGAAGGAAGGAAGAAAAGAAAAGAAAAGAAAGAAAAGGAAAGAAAAGAAACCCAUGCAUACAAAAUAAAAUUCUACAAAAUUAUAAUAUUCAUGAUGACUUUUGUAUUAGGCAUACAGAAGAGAAGAUUUAUUUUGCAAUAACUGAUGUCUCAUCCUGCAGACACUAAGUGGUUUAGAACUUCUGCAUGAAUACUGCUUUAUUUAUUUCUGCUAGAAACCUGGUAUGAGUCCAUCUAUGUUUCUACACUGUUUGCUUCUUGUAAACAAAAUCCCCUCAUCACUUCCGCUCAUAAAGUCACCAUUAGUGAUUGGAUUUUGACUGACAUAGGAUGAGGUAAAGCUGUAGGUUGGAGAGGUGAUAAUGCCAAAGACUCUUUCUCAAUACACACAAGCCAGAUUACUAAGGCUUAGUCUCUCUUUACUUCUGUUCUACACAAAAGUGGU
rnacentral:lncRNA from 1 species